GGAAUAUUGUAUUGAAUUACUGUCUUUGAGUUUUUAGCGUUUAAACAUUGACAAAAACUAAGACACCAUCAUAAGAUGAAUGAGAAGGUCAGAGGAACAUUACAUUUAUAAGAAAUGAAACAUAGGAAAGAGUUUUGUUUAUUGAUUCUAAGUGUUGUAUAGGAGUAAUGUUAUUUGGAGACCAAAUAAAAGAAGCAUAUUCUAGAUUGGAAUGUACCAAGGAAUUAUAAACAUUUAUUAGAGCAUGAGAGUUACUAGAUUCUGAACAGCUACGCUUUAAAAAGCCUAAUUUUGGAAUUGCUUUUUUUCUUAUUUUAUCAAUAUGAUAAUUAAAAUUCAAUUUC